GAUGAACGCUGGCGGCGUGCCUAAUACAUGCAAGUCGAGCGAACAGACGAGGAGCUUGCUCCUCUGACGUUAGCGGCGGACGGGUGAGUAACACGUGGAUAACCUACCUAUAAGACUGGGAUAACUUCGGGAAACCGGAGCUAAUACCGGAUAAUAUAUUGAACCGCAUGGUUCAAUAGUGAAAGACGGUUUUGCUGUCACUUAUAGAUGGAUCCGCGCCGCAUUAGCUAGUUGGUAAGGUAACGGCUUACCAAGGCGACGAUGCGUAGCCGACCUGAGAGAGGGAGAGGGCAAAAGGAAAAGAAAACAAGGAAAGGAAGAAAAAGGGAGGAAGCAGAAGGGAGUGUGAGGAAAGGGGCGAAAGAAUGAAGAAGCAAGAAAGCGGGAAUGAAAAAGGUUUUAAGAAAGUAAAAAUCUGUGAUUAGGAAAGAACAAAAGAGUAAGUAACAAUGCACGUCUUGACGGGACAUAAUCAGAAAGCCAAAACUAACUAAGAG
rnacentral:rRNA from 1 species